GGGAGUACGAUCGCAAGGUGAAACUCAAGGGAAUUGACGGAAACUUUUACAAGCCGUGGAGCGUGUGGUUAAUUUGAGAUCCGCGAAAAACCUUACCAGUUUGAGUUGCUACGCCUUAUUUGCCACUUCUAACGAAACAGAGCUUGCGUCUGUCUUCGUUUUAUUAGAGGGGUUGAAUUAAAGCCGCUAGUAACACAGGUGUUGCAUGGCUGUCAUAAGCCCGUGUCGUGAGACGUAAGGUUAACUUCUAUCCACGGGCGAAACCCUCCUUUUUUGUUCUGUUAAUCAGAAAACAAAUCGACCACACCGGGGGCGACGACGUAACUCGUUUACGUUAUGCUUUGGGUAAUGCAGGGGGGGAGCAUGACAAGUCAUCAUGGCCCGUAUAAACUGGGCUACACAUUCGCUACAAUGGAAAGGACAAUGAGAUGCCAGAACUAUAAUUUCGAGCUAAACUCUAAACCUUUCCCUCGUACAGAUUAUCUUCUGCAAUUCGAAGAGAUGAAGGAGGAAUGGCCAGUAAUCGCACAUCAGCAAUGGUGCGGUGAAUUCGUACUGAAGUUUUGUACAAACCACCCGUCACGGUCCGAAAGGAGGUCCACUCGAAGUUGGUGCCUGUGUUUGGCUAGCCGCUUUUUUUGAGAGCUAUCAAAUCAGAGCCAACGUCUGUAGGGUCACCGAUUGGAACGAAGUCGUAACAAGGUAACCA
rnacentral:rRNA from 1 species